rnacentral:rRNA from 1 species
GACGAACGCUGGCGGCGUGCUUAACACAUGCAAGUCGAACGGAAAGGCCCUGCUUUUGUGGGGUGCUCGAGUGGAGAACGGGUGAGUAACACGUGAGUAACCUGUCCUUGACUUUGGGAUAACCUCAGGAAACUGGGGCUAAUACCGGCUAGGAGCUCUUGCUGCAUGGUGGGGGUUGGAAAGUUUCGGCGGUUGGGGAUGGACUCGCGGCGUAUCAGCUUGUUGGUGGGGUAGUGGCUUACCAAGGCCUUGACGGGUAGCCGAGCUGAGAGGGUGACCGGCCACAUUGGGACUGAGAUACGGCCCAGACUCGUACGGGAGGCAGCAGUGGGGAAGAUUGCACAAUGGGCGGAAGCCUGAUGCAGUAACGCCGCGUGCGGGAUGUCGGCAUUCGGGUUGUAAACCGCUGUCGCCUGUGACGAAGCGUGAGUGACAGUAAUGGGUAAAGAAGCACCGGCUAACUACGUG